rnacentral:rRNA from 1 species
UACAGAGGGUGCGAGCGUUAAUCGGAAUUACUGGGCGUAAAGCGUGCGUAGACGGCUAUCUAAGUCGGGUGUGAAAGCCCCGGGCUCAACCUGGGAAUUGCAUUCGAGACUGAAUAGCUAGGGUGCGGUAGAGGGAAGCGGAAUUUCCGGUGUAGCGGUGAAAUGCGUAGAUAUCGGAAGGAACAUCAGUGGCGAAAGCGGCUUCCUGGACCAGCACCGACGUUCAGGCACGAAAGCGUGGGGAGCAAACAGGA